rnacentral:rRNA from 1 species
ACGGCGAGCGAACCGGCAUAGCUCAAAUUUGAAAUCUGGCGAAAGCCCGAGUUGUAAUUUGUAGAGGAUGCUUUUGGCAGAGCCGCGGGUUCAAGUGCCCUGGAAUGGGUUGCCAUCAUAGAGGGUGAGAGUCCCGUAUGUCGGCUCGCGGUAGACGCCAGUCAAAGCUCCUUCGACGAGUCGAGUUGUUUGGGAAUGCAGCUCUAAUUGGGAGGUAAAUUCCUUCUAAAGCUAAAUAUGGGCCAGAGACCGAUAGCGAACAAGUAGAGUGAUCGAAAGAUGAAAAGUACAGUGAAAACUGGGUGAAAUAGUACGUGAAAUUGUUGAAAGGGAAGCGCUUGCAAUCAGACAUUGCAGCAACGGGCUGAACCUUGUGUUCAUAAGUUGCUUGUGGGCUAGCAUCAGUUUGAGUGGUGGUAGAAAGGCGAGGGGAAUGUGGCUCGGGUGGGUUUGCGCCCAGAUCGAGUGUUUAUAGCCCCUCGCGCCAUGCCACCUACCUAGACUGAGGGUUUGCGCGGGGUUUCCCCGCAAGGAUGCUGGCGUAAUGGUUGUAAGCGGCCCGUCUUGAAACACGGACCAAGGAGUCUAACAUCUGCGCGAGUGUUUAGGUGUCAAGCCUAUGCGCGUAAUGAAAGUAAACGUAGGUGGGAAACCAUCGGUCCUCGCGGACUGAGGUGGCACCAUCGACCGAUCCGGAUGUUUUCGGAUGGAUUUGAGUAAGAGCGCAGCUGUUGGGACCCGAAAGAUGGUGAACUAUGCCUGUGUAG